AAGAAUCGAUUGAGUAUUGAAGAUUUCAUAGAGCACGGUCAAAUACGGUCAAAACAAAUUAUUAACCAGAAAAGAUAAGAUUCAACUAACUCAUUGAGAGAGAGAGAGAGAGAGAGAGAGAGAGAGGAUAUCAUCAUAGACUAUGGAGAAGGUUAUGGCAGAUCUGAACAACAGACAAAAACAAUGCCUAUGGCAUGCUUCAAGUACCUGUGGAGACACGAAAUAGAAGGACUCUUGUUUACUACUCCUAAUACUUCUGUGACAAACUUAUUUUGACAAACCAAAGAGUCUCUGCCCGAGUGCCCUCAUCAUGAUAGCCUUCUUAAACUCGAUCGAACUUAGGAGCCGAAACAAACCAGUCGCAUCUCCUCUUGUUCCUCCUUAUGGGCCUUGACAAGCACUGCAAAUUUGCAUUGUGUUGGGCAAUCACAAGCCAUGUGUGCACCAUCGCACAAGAGACACUUUAAGGAGAAGCACCCCUUCUUGUGUACUUCGCCACUCGACUCUGCUUUUGCUAUUUUAGGGGCCACUGGCAGUUUGCUUCCACUUAGAUGAUGGAACUUGUUACCAUCUCCCCCACCAAUGACUUUGUCCCUCAGUCGGGAGUCCGACUUGUUUCCGGAAGUUGCCUUGUAUUCCACAAGGGUCUCGGCCACAGACAUGGCUGUAUAGAGAUCCUUUAAAUUGCACCGCUUCAGUUCUUGCUUUAUCCAUGGUUUGAGACCACCCAUGAACUGGAAGUAAGCCUCCAUAUCGUUCAUGGAAGGGAUUUGGAGUAGCAACUCCGAGAACUUCACAUAUUCACCGACUCCUCCUUUUUGCUCUAGGCGACGGAGUUCGUCUCGAGCCUCCUCUUCCACAUGGAUGGGAUAGUAUUGUCAUCAAAACUCCUUAACGAACAUCUCCCAAGUCAUGAUAGGCUCACCACACCUAUCAUCGCACCUAUGACGCCACCAUAAUAAAGCAUCAUACAUGGCUGCGGUAGUUACCCGUAGUGCACCAUCAGUAAGCCCCGUUGCUCGGAAGUAUUGAUCUAUGUACCACAGGAAAUUGUCCACAUACUUAGCCACCCAUGAGCCCUUGCACUCUUUUGGCUUCGGGACGUCUCCUCGUGGACCAGAUUGCUCAGUGAUCACGCUGUUCAUGCAUGCCGUUUCCACCUCAGUGAGCUUCACCUUGAACUCAGCCAUCUCCGUGCGCAUGGCCUCCACCAAGGCCUCCAAGGCAUCAUUCCAUUGCCGGAGUUCAUUGGCUGUGUUGAUCAGGGAGCCCAACAUCUCUCCUCAGAGUUUUGAGCUCUUGCACUUCUGCUUGGAGCUCCCUCUUUCUGGACUCGACUCCUUCAAUGCUAUUGGACAAUUUUCGACCGUUCCUUGGACAUCCCUGAGAAUGAUCUCCAUCUUCGUCACGCAGGUCUCCAAGUCACACAGCACAUCCCUUGAACUCAAGCUACCACGGCCUUUCUUUGCCUUGGCGCCUUGUUGCUCAAUGGCCCUCCCACUUUGUUCCUCAACCAUGGGUUUCUCACCCUGGAUGGACAUUACGUCUGAACGUGGAUCCAUUGCGCCUUGGAUCAACUUGCUCUGAUACUAGACUUACAUAAACAUUAUGCUUUUCAUCAAAGAUCUUAGGCACAGCAACUUUUGCUUAAAAAUCCCCCCCCCCCCCCCAAAAAAAAAAAAAAAAAAAAACAACCCCGAACUAAAUCUCUAGGGGAACUUGGACAAGCCAUAAGAAAGAAGAGACAACAUUCUUUAAGAAAUUGCGUAAAGUAUCUCUGAGAAUGCAUUGGAAAAAACAAAAAAAAACAAAAAAAAAAAGAUUGCUGUAAAAGAAUUAUUUCAGUGUUAUAAUCUUUUCAAAAUCAUACUUGAAGAUCAUCAAGACUGUAUCUAAUAAUGGGCCCUAUUAGAUGCUCGGGGUUUUAAUUUAACUUGCCCUUAGUUGCAAGCACACAUGCUCUUUGCCACACAAUUGUGAGAUCAGAUUAGUACCUGCUUAUCCUGUAGAAGAUUACAUGUUAUUCUAAUUGGAGUCACCACUGAGCCCUAAUGCACCAUGAUUUGCUCACCUUCAAAUCCUGUUCCUUGAGAACCAUUGAGACAAACUUGUACUGGCUUUUGUGGACAGAGAUAACACAGGGAAGCUAUUGACGAAAGGAACUAAGCUAAUUCAACCAUGAUCACCUGACAUUGCUGUUCUCAUGAUUUGCUACAGCAUCGGAGAGGAAUUGCAUUGAAGAUGAUUAUAGAUGCCACCAAUGGUGCAAACGUUGGCAGCUAGAAGGUAGGCAGUAUCAUCAAACACAUAAAACUCUUGCACACAAAGGUACCCAUGAUUAGAUCCAGUCGGGUUAGAAGGAACUAAAUUCCUGAUUUAUUGGCCCAAUGCGCAGCCGCAAAUUAAGUGAUAAAUUGGAGAUAUCGGCCUUCAAUAUUAUGGCCACUUUAAUACCGUAAGUUGCUUUUAGUCAAUGAAGGAACUGACAAUUUUUCUAGGAAUAAGAACAGAUAUAUACCUUGGGUGCAUUACUAGAAUGGAAAAUUUUCUAACAGAAAAUGCUCUUAUCUCAAAUUCUGAAUGUGAAUACCACAAUCCAUUUCCCUUCCUACCCAAACAAAUCAUAAACUACUAGACAGUAAACAAGUUUAGCUACCACAACCAAAAGUGAAAGCCAAGAGGUCAUCAGCAUAACCAUAACAGUUAUACUAACCUCCUCUCCAUGUAUUGCUGUACGACUCAUAGAUUGUUAUGAAUCCAAAGAGUUACCAUGGUGACCAUCAAAUUGCAAUGAUAAGGUGAGGGCAAUGUCCAAGUGACAAAUCACUUGACAAAUACUCUGCUUUGUCUCACAAAUCCUGAUUAACAUAUGAAUCCCAACCUUUCCCUAGACAGAAUAUCAUACAUUCGAAAAAUAGAAGCACAUAUUUCUCCAUUCAAUAUCCAACCAUAGCAAUCCACUCCUCUUACAACAACAGUACAACAGCAGCAAAUGUAAUUGUUGGUAUAUAGCAAAUGAUCAUUUAUUUAUGUAUACCAAUAUGAGUACACAAUAAGAACACUAAGCAGAGGUCAUACGCAUACAUUGGAGGAGCCCGUAUUCUCGAGCUUCGAGAGCCAGAAUGAGCGCCUGAAUGCCCAAAUUCCCCUCCCCAUGAGCCUUGAGCGACAAGUAAAGCUGCUGAGCAAGCGCCAAGCCUGGCAAUGCGAGACCCAUCCUCUCACAUUCCUUCAGGCAUAUCCCCAAAUCCUUCGCAAAAUGGUUCACGUAGAACCUGGCGUCAAAAUCCCUCUUGCAGAAUCCUGUUCCCAUGCGAAUCCAGCGACUUCGAGCCCGCAGCCCCAGUCGAUAUUGCGCUUACAAACAUCCCAACAUCGAGCCCCGCCUUAUGGGCAUAAACCAUGCCCUCCACCAGCCCCACCAUCGUCGAAGCGAUCGUGAUUUGAUUCCCCAAUUUCGCGAACUGCGCCUUUCCGGGGCCUCCCAUGUAAUUGACCUUCGCCAUCAGUAGGUAUAUUAGUAAUUUACCUAUACAACAUUGGAAAUCCAUUAUUGGAAUUUUUGGUUAUUUUAAGAAAACUAAAAAUUUAAUAUUGUUCUAUGAUAAUUAUCCGAUUGUUGUAGAAUGAUACAUUGAUAUUAGUUGAAUUACAAGUGUGGAUAAUAAACAAUCUACUACUGGAUGGAUUUUCACUUUUGAUAAUUGCGUUGUUUCCUGGAUGAGAAAGAAACAUAUAUAUAUAAGUCAAAGAUGGAAUCCAAAUUCAUUGUUUCAGCAACAACUGAGAAAAAGUCUAAAUUAAUUAGGAAUUUGCUGUUGGAUAUUAAGUUAUGGCCCAAUCCUUUACCUCUUAUUUCUAUCUAUUGUAAUAGUCAUGCUACUUUGAUAAAGGCUUAUAGUAGCACUUAUAAUGAUAAAUCUAGACAUACUAGUCCGAAACAUGAGUACGUGAGAUAAGUAAUUAAAAAUGGUACCAUAACAAUUGUCUACGUAAGGGUUUAGCAACAUUUUAGUCAAUCCCUUGACAAAGACUUUAUCAAGAAAUAUGAUAAAAAUGACCUCACAAGAAAUGAGGCUAAAAGCCUUUAAUCACCAGUAAUGGCAACCCAAUAAUUUCCUAUAAUAUUAUUACUUAUGAGUUUUAACGGAUGAGAACAAGUUACUGAAUGUGAUUGUGUAAUACUGAUAUAGCCCUAAUAUGAUAAGUCAAUAUCAUCUCUUACGUUUUGUAGGUUAAAUGUAUAGUACAAAUUUAUAAUGUGUUAAUAGUAACAAAAACACAAAAGAGAUACUUCACCUAUAUGAGCUUAGAUGUAGUGCCGCUUCUUACAAAAGUUAGGAUUACUUUCUAAAGAGCUCUUGAAACAGGAUCAAACGCAAUGCCAUAAUAAUGCGCAAUAAAUAGAAUUUCCCGCUGAAAUAAGAGAUUAGUAUGUAUGCAGUUUGUUCAAUUAUAUUAUUUAAAAGUAUAAGUUACUUGUCACUUUAAUAGAAUUUUGAUAUAUUUACACUAAGUAAAAAUUUAACUUGAAAGAGACAUUUAUGUAUGUAUAUUAAUUUCAUUGAAAUUUUGGUUGUGUAUUUCUAACAUUUUAUUUUCUACUUUUGGGAAUUAUUGGUAGUUUGUCCAUAAAAUAAAUUAAAAUGUGUCUUGUCCCAUAUCGAAAAGAUGUGAAUGCACACGUAAGCGAGAUUUGACACUAACCAACGAUCAUUAUUUUUUAUUAAAAAUUCGGAUUUAUUUCUAUAAAAAAAAUUAACCAUAAAGUCUUAUUGAAAUAGCACAACUAUUCACAACGAAAUUAUGGUUAUUUUUUAUUUUUUAUUAAUGUAACUUCGAAUUUUAUAUGUCUUUUCAACAUUACCUUUGAAAAACGCAUUUGUUCACUUUGCGACAUUUCCAAAAAAGUGUUUUGUUUAUUUUGCAACAUUUUGAAAAGUAGGCUUUGUUCAAAAGACAAAUAUAAGUUCAUUUGUUUUUAAGAUCAUUUUCGAGUCUUCUUUCCAAAACUACAACCAUCUUAUCCAAUUGUUUGCUAUAAAGACUCUGCAAAAAUACUAGAAUUGCUAUCUAAUAUUCUAAUUUUAAACUUUGUUAUAUAUUGGAGGAAAUUUACUGGUGACCAUUAGCAAUAUUAUGGGACAAAUAAAUUAUUAAAGAAACUAAUAUCAUGCCUCAAAGUCCGACUUAAAUACUCUAGAUAUCGGACUUCAUUAUUUUAUCCAAUUCAAAGUCAUAUUUUUCCAACAGAAACUAUUCGCUAGGACAGAACAAGAAAGUUACACGAGCUGAUAGCUAAAACAUGCCAUUCUUAUUCAGUUGAACGAAUCUGAGAAAGUGAGAAUAUGCCACUUGAAGUGCGUUUGAGAAUUGCCUAGUUGAUUACAAUAAGGAUUCAAGUCUUCCGUCUGCGGCAGAGCGGGAUGUGGGAAUCUCUUCUUAUGGGUAUUGCUAAUCGUACCUCUCCAUUGGUUCCUGCAUAUAUCACCCAAACGGUCGGCUAAUUGGAAAUCCUUUUUAUCACAACAGCGUCGCCAGAACGGUUCUCGAUAAUAUUGUGUACUUUCCCUGAUCCGCAAAUUCUGAUCACAUCACGCUCCUUCAAUCCCGACAAAGCUCUGAUUGUGAAUAUCGCUAGCUUCAAAACAAAUAUUGCCACAGCAAUGACCAAGAGCACAAUCAAGGCAAGAUUGAUCGGCAAGCUUUUGCUCCAUCUCCGGGAUUGGGAAUUGCAGACAUUGAGCCACAUGAAUGAAUUGGAUGCACAGAGGCCCGGGUUGUUCAGGAAACUGGUGUUGUACACGGCGUUCUCUAAUUCAUUUGGGAUUCGUCCACUGAGGCGAUUGGAGGAUAAAUUGAGAAGGUUCAAAUUCAGCUGGCCGAUUUCAGGAGGAAUCAAGCCAGACAGUUGGUUUUCAGACAGGUCCAACUGCUCAAGUACCGGUAGAAGACCGAUUUUGCUAGGAAUCGGUCCCGACAAUUUAUUGUGACUAAGAUUCAGAGUGUUCAAGGAGUUCCACGAAACAAUAGCUGUCGGAAGAUUCCCAGAGAGCUCGUUCUGACCUAGCAAAAGCGCCACCAGAGAAGGAAGCUUGGUUAAUUCAGUCGGAAUGGUGCCACUGAGGAGGUUAUUACUGGCAUCAAACACUACCAAGCUCCUCCAUGAAGACACCGUGCUCGGAAUCUUGCCGAAGAAUUUGUUGUUGCUCAUCUUAAUCCGAGUGAGGUUUGGCGAAAGCUCCUUGGGAAGCUCACCAGUUAAUCCAUUACCACUCAAGAUCAAAGCCGUCAAGUUCCGCGACAUCCAGAGUCCUCCAGGCACAUUGCCGGUGAAUCCAUUGUUGUUCAACAUUGCUACAGACAAAGUACUGCAAUUUCCAAGUGACUCCGGUAACUCCCCGCCGAGAUUGUUGUCCAUAACGGCCAACCCAAACAGCGUGCCACCAUGGCACAGUUGUUCAGGCAAUGCGCCAGUCAAGCUGUUGAAGGCCACUUCGAAUCUGCUGAGUGGGGAAAACUUGCCGAAGUCGGGGGGGAUCGUGCCCGAUAGAUUGUUGUUGGACAGCCUGACAUCAGACAAAGAGGGAAGACGCCCAAUACCUUCGGGGAUUUCACCGGAUAAUUGAUUGAACUGCAAACUCAAGCUGGAUAGAUUCUUGAGCUUCCCAAAAUCUUCAGGUAUGUUCCCCGUCAAGUUAUUAAAAGAUAGAUCAAUCAUGCUCAAGUUCCUCAGAGUGAAAAUGCUGCCCGGGAUCUCUCCCGUUAGUAGAUUCAUCCCCAAAUCCAAGUGCUCAAGAGCCUCCAUAUUCCCAAUAGUCUCUGGGAUUCCCCCAAUCAGGUUUGUUUGUGCCAUCGAGAAGAACCGUAGCUUCUUCAGGGCAGUGAAGUUCUGCUGUAGCUGCGACGGCACAAACUUGUUGUACUCGAGCCUCAGUUCUUCGAGAUCUGACAGGCCAAAAAUCUCUUCAGGGUAAGUGCCAUUGUACUCGGACUGGCAAAGGUGAAGGAUCCUCAGCCUCCACAACCUCGCAAUCGAUGCUGGGACAUCAAACGAGAAGCUGUUGGCAGCAAGAAUCAGGACCUGAAGAUCGGCCAUCCGGUCGAUGUCGGAUGUAAUAGGACCAUCGAAGUAAUUCUGGGACAGGUCGAGGUACACGAGCUUGGAACAGUUGUAGAGAACAGUGGGAAACCCUCCAGGUAUAUUGUUGUAGGAGAUGUCGAGCUUGGUCAGAUUCUUGAGGUUGCAGAUGAAUGGAGGGAUCGAAUAAUUUAUGCUCAGGUUGACAAGAUUGAGCUCGGAGAUCCAGCCUUCUUGGCAUGUGAUCUCAGGCCAUGUGCAGUGGGAGGAUGAAUUGGAGGCGACCCAGUGGUCGAGGGAAGAUGGGUCUUGCCAGGAUUGCCUCAGCUUCAACAGGACUUGCUGUUCUUGAUCUUGGAUUUGAGACUCUACAGCACUGGAGAGUAAGCACAGGAAGACGAGACAGGGGAUGUACGAGAGGAAGAAGAUGUGAAUCUGAGGAGGUGAUGGGGUCGGUCUCGGCAUAAUUGGAGGUCGUUCAGAGUCUUUUCUGGCUAGGGAGACUCUCCGGUGUUGGAGCUAGAGAUGGAUCAACUCAACAUGAAGCAAAGACGUGUUGGUUUGCUCUUGCUUAUUGCUCGGCAGAACCCCCAAGGUUUUUAAGCUCGUUUCAAAGCGCCAAAAUUUGGUGGGUCCUAUUUACCAACAAAAGUAAAAAAAAUGGUCCUAAUGUAAUAUUUGGCCUUGUUUACACUUGUAAAAAGGCUUAAUAUUACGAAAAAUCUCAAAUUUUUACAUUGAUGAUAUUAUCAUAAACUAAAUUUUUUUUUAUCAUCAAAACCCAAAAUUAGUACACGUGUGACAUUUUUACCUUAUAUUAACUUCCAUCAUGCAACAUCAAGUCCAUGUAGAUCAAUUAACGAGUUAAUACAAUGAAAAAUCCUAAACCGGUACAUCGAUAACAAAUUUAUCUAGAUUUAUACACCUUUGACAAACUUAUAUCAGACUAAUUGUUUGGUCACUAAAAAUCCCAAAUCAGAACACAUGACACAAUUAUCCUCUGUUAACUUUCAUUAAAUAUUGACAUUAAAUUGCUAACUUAGAUGCCACGUUGAGUCAAUGUGGAUCAAUUAACGAGUUAAUACGACAUAAAAUCUCAAACCAAUAUAUCUUUAAUAAAUUCACCUCAAGCUAAUUUUUGGGUAACCAAAAAUCCCAAAUUAGUACAUGCGUGAUACAUUUAUCCUCCAUUGGCUUCUAUCAAAUUUCAUCAUUAAAUUUAGCGAGACUUGUAGAUUGUCUUCUUCUUCAUUAUCAUCUUUGUCUAAGGUCGUAACACUAAAGCGAGCACUCUUUAGUGGCACUUUUAGUAACUCUUAACAUUACGUUGCUUGUGGUAUUGUCAAUUUCUUUUGUUAGACGUCCCCCCUUCGAUGGUUGGUUGCUUUGAAUGCUUCCCUAGCCUACCUUUGAAUUGGUGCGUGAAACCUUCUAAAAUUUAUGGAGUCAAGGGUAUCUAUUAGGUCCGUUUGUCCAAUGAUCGCAUAACAAUCUUUCAUUUGUUUCUGUUGUGAAUAUUAUUUGUACUCAAGCAGGAAAGGGAAAAAAAAAAACAAGCCUUUGCUCUUUAGUCUUCAUGAAAAAGAAGUUUUCGUUGUUGGCAUUAGCUUGUGGCACUUGGCGUUGUUGCAACCUAUGUAGCACGGACACUCUUCGGAAGCGUCGUGUCCGACACAUUCCGACACGUCCCGACACACUCUGACACGCGGUCAACGAGUGUUGAAAAAUCCGACACGUGGUCAACUCUCUCCGACACGCAAGUCCAGAAUUCCAACACGCGAUUCCGACACACACGGGGUCAAUUUUAAAAAUUUCUAAUAUUUGAGGGGUCAAAAUAUAAAUAUACACAAAAGAAGUAAUAAAACAAGUAAUAAAAUUGCUAUAAAUAUACACGCACGGGUCAAUUUUUUUUUUCAGUUUUGUUUUUUUUUUAAUUGUUUUAGUUUUUUUAAAAGUCUUUUACUAUGAAAGAAGUAAUAAAAAAUACUAUAUAUGAUAUUUUGCCCCAAAAAAUGCUAUAUAUGAUAAAUAAAUAAAUUUAAAAAUAUGAUUUCAACAUUUUUCUUUAAAAAAUGUUUUUUUCCUCUAAGUUUCAUGUAUUAUUGUAACAAAUUAAAGCAAUGAAUGAUAUUAUUUAAUAUUUUUCGUGUAAAUUAAUUUUAGGUUAUUUUUAUUAUUAUUUAUUUAUGUAUUUAUAUAUAAAAAUAUAUUUAAUAUAUAACGUGUCGGAACGUAUCAAAAUUCUCUAUUUUUAAGAAAUGACGUGUCGACGUGUCAUGUCGUGUCGUGUCACGUGUCACGUGUCACGUAUCCGUGUCGGUGCUACAUAGGUUGCAACCCACUAACAUUUUGUAUGUUCCAAAUAUCAGCAAGACAGCAACCAGAAUGAAUGUGAUUGAUUCUUGUUGGUCGUGAUGUGAUUGAUUCCUGUUGGUCGCGGUGCUUGUGUAAUGUCCGAGUCAAAUGGCCAAGCUUUGAAUUUUCUCCAUGCCCUCCUAAUCUCCAAUGGAACGGCUUUUGAUUUGUGUCCACAUGUCCACCUUAUGGAUGAUGAGCAACUAUGUAGCACCGACACUGACACGUGACACGUAACACGACAAGACACGACACGCCGAUACAUCAUUUCUUAAAAAUAGAAAAUUUCGAGACGUUUUGACACGUUAUAUAUUAAAUAUAUUUUAAUAUAUAAAUACAUAAAUAAUAAUAAUAAUAAUAAUAGCCUAUAAUUAAUUUACACGAAAAAUAUUAAAUAAUAUCAUUCAUUAUUUUAAUUUGUUACAAUAAUACACAAAACUUAGAGGAAAAAAACAUUGUUUAAAGAAAAAUACUGAAAUGAUAUUUUUAAAUUUAUUUAUUUAUCAUAUAUAGGAUUUUUUAUUACUUCUUUCAUAGUAAAAGACUUUUUUAAAAAAUAAAUCAAUUCUAAAAAAACAAAACUGAAAAAAAAAUUGACCCCGUGCGUGUAUAUUUAUAGCAAUUUUAUUACUUCUUUUAUUACUUAUUUUGUGUAUAUUUAUAUUUUGACCCCUCAAGUAUUAGAAAUUUUUUAAAUUGACCCCGAGCGUGUCGGAAUUCUGGACUCGCGUGUCAAAGCGUGUCGGAGAGAGUUGACCACGUGUCGGAUUUUUCGACACUCGUUGACCACGUGUCGGAGCGUGUCGGACACGUGUCGGAAUGUCGGACACGAUACGAAGGCUUCCGGAGAGUGUCCGUGCUACAUAGAUGAGCAGUUAAUCUUUUGGUGGCACACGUGCAUGCGCAAACUUUGGACAGAGUAGACCCGACAACGACAGGUCGAGCCUUCUAGAUGGGUGAGAGACAAAACUUGGCUUGCAUGGAGCCCCCACAUGACUGAGCUAAAACCCAAUCCUCAUUGCGAGUUCCAGCGUGCGUACUGGAGCCUCAACAGUCACGCUCUUGUUCUAGUCAAGAUAGUCGGAAUCUACUAUCCAAUCGCAAUAAAGUCGCAAAGAACGGGAGAAUUGGACUACCCCAUUCAAACACGGCAGCCACAAGUUGAUUUGCUAAAGCUGGGCUAGAGAGAGACAGGAUAUCAUCACAGACUCUGGAGAAUAUUAUCACAUAUCUCAAAAACAAACAAAAAAAAAUGCCACCUACCAUGGACAGCAUAGUUAGUAUGAGUUCUCUCCCUUAUCACCGAGGUCGAGAGUUCGAACCCUCUUAUUGCAUUUCAUGACUUAAGUGGGGGUCCCAGUAAUUACUGAGUCAACCCCCGAGAUUUCACAUUUAAAUGGUGGAUUACUAAGCCAGCCCCCCGAGGUUUUACAUCUAAAUAGCGAGCACCAGAGAGUCAUGUGAUCUCCGAAAGAUGAUCUCCAACGGUUUCUCGGUCAUAAAAAAAAAAACAAAACAAAAACAAAAACAAAAACAAAAAACCAAAAAACGAAAAGAAAAAGAAAUGCCCAUGGGAUGCUACAAGCGCCUGUGGACACACGAAACAGAGGGACCCUUAUUUCCUACUCCUAAUGUUUCUACAACAAACGGAUUUUGGCAAAGCGAAAAGACACAUAUCAAAUACUUCAUGUACAUGAAUAAAAGCAUUUCCUUUGGAAGUCCACGAGUGCUAUCCUCUUAGCCUCUUAUAUCAACUUUCCCAUUUCUGGUUAUUACUUAACAAUGGAUACAUUAUCUGUUCUGCAUAGUCAACAAGCUUUCUAGACCAGAUUUACAUAAACAUUAAGCUCUUUACCAAAGAGUUUAGGCAAAGAGUUUAGGCACAACAACUUUUGCUUAAAAGUAUGAGCAGCUCAGUCCUCUCUCUCUCUCUCUCUCUCUCUCACAAACAAAUCUGUAGACAAGCCCAAAAGAAAGACAAGACAACAUUCUAAAAGAAUUGCUGAAAGUAGGGUUGAUCAUGGUUCUUGAGUGGAACCAAAAACCUGAGAAUUGGACCCACAGGAACCGGUUCAAUACUAAGUUUUAGGAUAUGUAAGGUAAGUUUCAAAUUCCAAAAUUAGAAAACCUAUUCUAACGGAUAGGUUCCAAAUGAGUAAGUUACAUGUUCCAAUGGGAACCUAAAACCUAGAACUUGUAACGAGUUUUUUUUGUUUUUCUUGUUCUAUGUCAUGACAUCCAGUGAUGAAUAUGCAGUUUGAAACCAUUAGUUGGAGCUUUCAUUUCCGGCAAUAUCCAUGACUAAAGUUUAUACUUUGUGAAUAUUUCAUAAUUUUUGUGUCUAAAUAUGAGUUGUGAUAUAACAAAUAAUGGUAAUUAAAAGUGAUAAUUCAUUGCAAUCAUUCAAUUAAAAGUACAUGAAAAACUUGGAUAAACCUAAUAACCAACCUUGGACCUAUGACGGGUAGGUUCCAGAUUUCAAUUGGAACCUAACAAACUCUGGAACCACUCACCCCUACCCUAAAGCACCUUUGAGAAUUCAAAAAAAAAAAAAAAACAACAACAAUAAGAACAUUGUAAACGAGAUUACAAUAUUUGGAACAUUAGAGAGUGAGAAUUAUUUUGUUAUUAUAAUCUUUUCACAAUCAUACUUGGAGAUCAUCAAGACCGUUCACGAUAAUGGGCCUCAUUCGAUGCUCAUAUAUCAAGAUUUAAUUUUACUUGGCAGUUAGUUGCAAGCAUAUAUGCCUACUCGCCAUAGUAUCAUGGUUACAAUUAUGAGAUCAAAUUAGUACCUACUUAUCCUAUAUCAGAUUACAUUUUAUUCUAAUUGGAGUCACCUGUGAGCUGUAAUGCUCCACGAUUUGCUCACCUUCAAAUCCUGUUCCUUGAGAACCACUGAGACAAACUUGGACUAGCUUUUGUGGAUAGAGAUGACAUAGGGAAGCUAUUGAAUAAAGGAACUAUGCUAAUUUAAGCAUGAUCCUGUGACGUUUCUAUUCUCGCAGUUUUGCUACAAUAUUGGAGAGAAAUUGUGUUUAAGAUGAUCAUAGAUACCAUUGAUGGUACGAAGGUUGGCAGCUAGAAGGUAGGCAGUGCCAUCAAAGACAUAAAAUCUUGCACGCAAAGGUAUCCAUGAAUAGAUCCAAUGGGAUUAGAAGGAAUUCCGGGUUUAGUGGCCCAAUGCGCAGCCACAAAUUAAGUGAUGAAUUGGAGAUAUCAGUCUUGACAAUUAUGGUUAUCCUUAAUACUCUAAGUUGAUUUUAAUCAAUGAAUGAACUAACACUUUUCCAGGAAUUUCCGUACCUAGCCAAACAAAUCAUUAGUUACUUCGUUUACUCGACGGCAAACAAGACCGCAACCAAAAGAAGAAACCAAGAGCUCAUCAGCAGACCCAUGAUGGUUAUACUAACCUUCUUGGCAUGUAUUGCUAUACAACUCAUAAAUUGUUAUGAAGCCAGAGAGUUACCAUGGUGACCAUCAAAAUAAAUAAAAAAAGUGAGGACACUGUCCAUGCAACAAAUCAUUUGACAAAUACUCCGCUUUGUCUGACGAAUCUUGAUUAACGUAUAAUCCCAACAUUUUCCUCGUCAGUCUAUCAUGCCUUUGAAAAAUAGAAGCACAUAUUUCUCCAUUCAAUAGCCAACCAUAAAAAUCCAAAAAGACAGCCUUUUUGUUGCUUGGAUUAAUGGAUAGUGCUAGUAGUCGUUGCAACCCACUAAUGCUUUGUACGUUCCAUAGAUCGGCAAGGCAGCGACCCGAGUGAUUUUGAUUGAUUCCUGUUGGUCCUGGUGCUUUUUUGUAGUGUCCCAGUCAAAUGGUCAGCCUUUGAAUUUUCGCCAUGCCCUCCUAUUCUACAGUGGAACAGCUUUUGAUUUGUUUCCUGAUGUUCGCCUUCUGGAUGAUGAGCAAAUUGGUCUUUUGGGGGGCGCAAGUGCAUGGGCAAACUUUCCACAGCGUAGACCCGACAUCGACAGGUCGAGCCUUCUAGAUGGGCAAGGAAGAUAAAACUUGGUUACAUCUACAUCAGGCGCCCACAUGAUUGAACUAAACCAAUCCUCAUUGCUAGUUCCAGCACAUCCUAAGGUGCCUUCUAGAUGGGUAAGGAAGAUAAAACUUGGUUACAUCUACAUCAGGCGCCCACAUGAUUGAACUAAACCAAUCCUCAUUGCUAGUUCCAGCACAUCCUGAGGUGCCUUCUAGAUGGGUAAGGAAGAUAAAACUUGGUUACAUCUACAUCAAGCGCCCACAUGAUUGAACUAAACCAAUCCUCAUUGCUAGUUCCAGCACAUCCUGAGGUCUGUGAUUGAUGAUUGUAAUGAGCCCGAUGCAUGGAAGGAAUUCAUCUCAGACUAUGUAGGAUGCUUCGCUUCUAUGUUUUUGAAAACUUACUAGUUCUAUAGUAAAAAUUAUCGAUGCAAAGUUGCUGACACUUCUAGGAAUUUGCCAGUGAUACUACAUAAGUUACUAUCAUCGACAUGCUUAAACGUGAUUAAUUAAACAUGUAAAUGUGUUACCCCUGUCAUACGGCACGUUUGAAUACAUUUUGAGACACUAAUAUAUGACGGAUAAUGAGCAUCUAUUGUGUACUAAAGCAGAAAAGCCCAGAGGAAAUCAAAGAAAGUAUCUACUCACUUACACACAUUAUCAACUAAUGCACUCGCCAUCCAAGCAUCUGUAAUGGAGCCUCAACAACCACGCUCUUCUACUGGUCAAGAUAGUUCGAUUUCUACUUUCCAGUCGCAGUAAAGUCACAGAACAGGAGCGUUGGACUACCCAUUUCAGACACGGCAGCAACAAUUUUAUUGCUAAAGCCGGGUGAUCAAACUAUUGUUGGUCUAAGAUUACCAUUGAUACUGACAUGAUUCCCGUAAAGAAUCCAUUUCUGGCUAUAGUUACCAGUAGUAUCUGGUCUAAUUCCAGAUUCGAGACUGGAUAGUCUCUCAAAUAACAGCAGUUAUGUAUCCAACUAUUGGUAUUGAGCAAUUAACAAACAGUUUAGUCACGAGUGGAGGUUGAAACCAUCAGUAAUUCCACUAAGAGAGUUCUUUCCAGACAUUACAAUAUGAACUCCUAUGAGAGGGUGCACUGAAGAUAGAAUCUGUGCAAGAAUCGAUUGAGCAUUGAAGAUUGCAUAUAGCACGGUCAAAUACGGUCAAAACAAAUUAUUAACCAGAAAAGAUAUGAUUCCACUAACUCAUUGACAGAGAGAGAGAGAGAGAGAGGAUAUCAUCAUAGACUAUGGAGAAGGUUAUCGCAGAUCUGAACAACAGACAGAAACAAUGCCUAUGGCAUGCUUCAAGUACCUGUGGAGACACGAAAUAGAGGGACUCUUGUUUACUAAUCCUAAUACUUCUGUGACAAACUUAUUUUGACAAACCAAAGAGUCUCUCGCCCGAGUGCCCUCAUCAUGAUAGCCUUCUUAAACUCAAUCGAACUUAGGAGCCGAAACGAACCAGUCGCAUCUCCUCUCAUUCCUCCUUAUGGGCCUUGACAAGCACUGCGAAUGUGCAUCGUGUUGGGCAAUCACAAGCCAAGUGUGCACCAUCGCACAAGAAACACUUGAAGGAGAAGCACCCCUUCUUGUGUUCUUUGCCACUUGACUCCGCUUUUGCUAUUGUAGGGGCCACUGGCAGUUUGCUUCCACUUAGAUGAUGGAACUUGUUACGAUCUCCCCCACCAAUGACUUUGUCCCUCAGUCAGGAGUCUGACUUGUUUCCAGAAAUUGCCUUGUAUUCCACAAGGGUCUCAGCCACAAACACCGCUGCAUUGCACUGCUUCAGCUCUUGCUUUAUCCAUGGUUUGAGACCACCCGUGAACUGGAAGUAAGCCUCCGUAUCAUUCAUGGAAGGGAUUUGGAGUAGCAACUCCGAGAACUUCACAUAUUCACCGACUCCUCCCUUUUGCUCUAGGCGACAGAGUUCAUCUCGAGCUUCCUCUUCCGCAUGGAUGGGAUAGCGUCAAAACAUCUUGACGAACAUCUCCCAAUUCGUGAUAGGCUCACCACACCUAUCAUCGCACCAUGACGCCACCACAAUAAAGGACUAAGUACAUGGCUGUGGUAGUUACCCGUAGUGCACCGUCAGUAG
rnacentral:lncRNA from 1 species